rnacentral:lncRNA from 1 species
CACAAAUCUUCAUUUGGUUACCCUUGUGCAGCAGAUGUUUGCCUUUUCACUCUUCCCAUCUGGAAGUGAGAUGUUGGGCUUUUCAAUGUUUUGCUUUGUUUUUAUAGGGAGGUGGGUGACAAGCACACAGAGUUCACUGCUAAACUACUGCAAACAAGCUUUCAAUGUACAACUUCUAUUCACCUCAGAAUGUCACUUGGGAAGGAAGAAUCUAACAAGGUGGAUCAGAAACAGAAUUGGAGCUAUUUUAUCUGGACCUAAUUAAACAACCUUCAUUACUGGCAGAUUUUCCAGACUGUCCUGGUGAUUGAUGUGAUUGCAGAGAAGCUGACAGAGAGCAGAGGCAGAGGAUGUGCAGAACCAAAGGAACCAAUUCUCCUCCUCUGAGAUCAAGCUUAGAUGUCCUACUUUGAUUUGGUCCUCUUAAAACUUAUCAUGAAAUGUUAUGCACAGUUUCUCCUUAUUGCUCUCUUCAUAUGUCAAGAGCCAGCAGAUUUUCUUGGAUGAAUAUAAGUUUGUCCUGAUUAACUUUGAAGGCAAUUAAAUGUGAAGCUGGUAAGGAGUGGAAAACUCUUUGUGCGGCAGAGAUCCCAAAUUGCUUCUUUUGAUACUAUACGUAAUGCCAUGCAAUGGCAAAUGACUGAUGUGUUCUUUUUUCCUAUAUGAAAUUAUUCCCUGAAUAGUGAAGUAGAAGCAGGGAUUCUUCCCAGUGGCUUGGUAACCAGAAAUUCAAGAACUAUACAAAAAAGUUUUAGCACUGGGCCUCCAGUGAUGAGUGAUUUUAUUGUCUGCUGCUCUGGUAAUUAACAUACAAGAGAUACCUACAUGGAAGACUGCAAUAUAAUACGACACACGUUAACUAAGUCUCAGUUAAGAAGCUGGAUCAUAUCAGUUGUCUUCUGUGCAUUUAUGCUUUAAGUCUCCACUCAGACAAUAUUUCUACUGUUUAAAAUCACGUAUCUGCAUGUCCUUGUUAAAACUUUAAGCAUAACAAAAUUUCCUUGUUG